rnacentral:rRNA from 1 species
GAUAAACGCUGGCGGCGUGCCUUAUGCAUGCAAGUCGCACGGGAGGUGGGCUUCGGCCCACUGAGAGUGGCGGACGGGUGAGUAACACGUAGGAACCUGCCCGGAAGUGGGGAAUAACUCCUCGAAAGAGGGGCUAAUACCGCAUACGGUCGAGAGACCAAAGCUUCGGCGCUUUCGGAGGGGCCUGCGGCGGAUUAGCUAGUUGGUGGGGUAACGGCCUACCAAGGCGACGAUCCGUAGCUGGUCUGAGAGGAUGGUCAGCCACACUGGGACUGAGACACGGCCCAGACUCCUACGGGAGGCAGCAGCAAGGAAUUUUGCGCAAUGGACGAAAGUCUGACGCAGCAACGCCGCGUGGGGGAUGAAGGCUCUCGGGUUGUAAACCCCUUUUGUGAGGGACGAAGAUCUGACGGUACCUCGCGAAUAAGCCACGGCUAACUACGCGC